rnacentral:lncRNA from 1 species
UUGGUCCACAGAUUUUCAAUUCCUCUCAAGAAAUGAAAAAAUAGGUACAAUUCGUUAGGAGGUAACCUGAUCUAAGUUAAAUUUUUAAAUUUCUCUCUUAAAAGAAUCCCUAAAACACCCUCCAACUUGAUCCUAAUCCCAUCUUUCAAAGCUGAGAAGGACCCCCCAUUCAUCCUCUAUAUAAGUAGCCUGCUGCUGAGGUGAAAGGGGUUGGGGAAAUUUUGAAUUCAGAAAAACUGAGGAAGGAAGAAAAAAGAAAGAAAUUCUUGGAGAAAAUUCAGUCUUUAGUAGAAAUUUUGUUCUUGUUUCGAAAGUUCGUCGGCUAAAUUAGAGUUUUGAGUAGACGGCGAAGAUAUUUUCUCGGUGGUUGCGAGAUCGACAUUAGCUCGAGGUUCCGUUUUGCUGCUUCCAAAUAGGUAAUAUCCUAUUCCGUUGAACUUUUGAUUGCUUCUACAUCAUCUCGGCCUUCUAUAGCUGUGAGUAAAUCUUUAGUAAUGUGUGUUGUUUACAGGUAGAUGGCUUUGAUAGCCGUAGGUUUCAUUUACGAUAGUUAUCGACGUGUUGAUAUUUGAAUCAACGUGUACGAUGCUACUGCUUACUCCUGUUGAGGAUAUAUUUUUCAUUAAAAUACUUUAAAUCCAUUAUUUUUAUCUAAGAAUUGUUCUUUCUUUUGAUUUAUGGCAUGUUAUAUGGUCUGAACAAUGUUGUUGAUGGGUUUUUGAUUUAAUACUCUCAUUUUUGUGUACUAUUUAAGGUCUGUACGGCUGAUCUUGUUAAAGUUUCAUGCCCUGCUAAUUUCGAUUUGAUGGUAGCUUGUUAUGGCUGAUUUCAUGGUGAAAAACUUCAUGUUUUAUUUAUUUUUGGGUUGAUGGUAGCUUGUUAUAUCUGAUUUUAUGUUAAAGUUUCGUGCUUUGAUCAUUUUGGGUUGAGGGUGACCUAUUACAGCUGAUCUUAUGUUAAAGUUUUGUGUUUCGUUAGUUUCGAGCCGAGGGUAUCCUAUUAUAACUAAUUUUAUGCUAAAGUUUUGUGCUUUGUUAGUUUCGGGUUGAUGAUGUCCUGUUAUAACUGGUUUAAUGUUAUAGUUUUGUGUUUUGUUUGUUUCGGGCUGAUGGUAUCUAGUUAGGGAAAAUUUCAAAAAUAGCAACUCUGUAGCCUUGAUUAUAACUUUUAUAGCAACAGUUUCAUAAUUACGAAAAAUAGCAAAUUGUAUUUGUAUUUAAGUAAAAUGUUGCUAUAUAAAUACAUAUACAAAUAUAUAUGUAUUACUCAUAAAUACAUAUGCACAACUGAAAAAUACAUAUUCUUCUAUUACUAUGAAGUGGGUAAAAUAUUGCUACUUUUGCUAUAAGUUGUAAUUUUAAAAAAGUGUUGUUAUUUAUUGUAAUUAUAGUCUUAAGGAUGCUAGUUUCUGUAAUUUUUUCAUUUAGUUAUGGCUUAUUUCGUGGUUAAAAGUCUCAUGUUUCAAUAAUUUCGGGCUGAUGGUGUCUUGUUCAUCGUUAGUAUUUGACGUCGUCUUGUUUGUUGUCAUUUGUUUGGUGUGAUGUUGAGCUUUUGUUGCAAGAUAUUGUUCUUCAUUUCAUUAAAGUUAUUUUCUUUAUUUUGGGCGUAGAGUAGGGAUAUAGUUUAGGUUAAAUCGGGUAAAUCUUUCUUUUACUAUUUAUAAGAAAAGCAUAUGAUGUCUAGAUUAUGUGUUGUUGUCGUAUAAGCUUGGUGGAGUUGAAUCCGUAUUAGGUUAAUGAGAAUUUUUUUGUCAAAUUUCAUUCAUUUUGUCUUAAUUCUUUCCUUGGGUCUUUUUCCAUGUCAUUGUUAUUAGACUAAUGAAUACAAAAAUGUAUUUGAUGUUCUGCAAAGCGCAGCUUCUAGAUUUUUCGUUAAAUAAAGGUUUUCUGCUUGUUAAAGGAAUUUAGUACUAUAUUGGUAUUGAUUGAACCAUUGAUUGUUAUAUUGCAGUGUUUGUAUAUUGAUUAAAACUCUUUCUAAAUUGUUUACAAUUGAUUUUAGUUUCUAGUUCUUAUAUUCCUUCAUCUUUUCUUUGCAUGAACCCGCUUGGGAGUCCAAACGACUUCUUUCCCUUUGCAUUUCAUAAUGGGCCAUUGAGGCCCAUCUUAUUGAGUCAAUCCUAAAGUGUAAACUCAACGUCGAUCGCGUGGCAAAUGAAUACAAGGAAUCGAAAGAAGAAGGAUGGGUUUAAGUUCCAUCUUUGAAGCGGAAAGAGGGACUUGAAAGUCUCGUUAUUUUUUUAUUUUUUUAUUUAUCCAUUGUUGCCU